rnacentral:tRNA from 1 species
CCUGUAGCUCAGUUGGAUAGAGCACCAGAUUCCGAUUCUGGGUGCCGCAGGUUCGAAUCCUGUUAGGUG